UAAUACAGAGGGGGCAAGCGUUGUUCGGAAUUAUUGGGCGUAAAGGGCGCGUANGCGGUGCGGUAAGUCUUUUGUGAAAUCUCCGGGCUCAACUCGGAGCCUGCAAGGGAAACUGCCGUGCUUGAGUGUGGGAGAAGUGAGUGGAAUUCCCGGUGUANCGGUGAAAUGCGUAGAUAUCGGGAGGAACACCUGUGGCGAAAGCGGCUCACUGGACCACAACUGACGCUGAGGCGCGAAAGCUAGGGGAGCAAACAGGAUUAGAUACCCUGGUAGUCCUAGCCCUAAACGAUGAUUGCUUGGUGUNCAGGUNCCCAAUCCUGCUGUGCCGAAGCUAACGCGAUAAGCAAUCCGCCUGGGGAGUNCGGUCGCAAGGCUGAAACUCCAAGGAAUUGACGGGGGCCGCCACAAACGGUGGAACAUGUGGUUUAAUUCGACGCCGCGCGAAGAACCUUACCUGGGCUCGAAACGCCAUUGGACUGCCGUAGAAAUAUCCGCCUUUCUC
rnacentral:rRNA from 1 species